rnacentral:ncRNA from 2 species
UAUAAAGAUUUUCUUCGAACCGCCGGACCUGCAAGAUAUAUAUCCAUGGUACGGCGGUCGAUGGGUACAGCGGGAAACUGAUGUGCCUCCCGUGAUUGGAAAGGAGAGAAUAUCAAAGACCU